rnacentral:misc_RNA from 1 species
GAUGAAGAACGCAGCGAAAUGCGAUAAGUAAUGCGAAUUGCAGAAUUUCCGUGAGUCAUCGAAUCUUUGAACGCACAUUGCGCCCCCUGGUAUUCCGGGGGGCAUGCCUGUCCGAGCGUCAUUGCUGCCCUCAAGCACGGCUUGUGUGUUGGGCCUCCGUCCUCCUCCCGGGGGACGGGCCCGAAAGGCAGCGGCGGCACCGCGUCCGGUCCUCGAGCGUAUGGGGCUUCGUCACCCGCUCUUGUAGGCCCGGCCGGCGCUUGCCGACACAUCAAUCUUUUUUCCAGGUUGACCUCGGAUCAGGUAGGGAUACCCGCUGAACUUAAGCAUAUCAAUAAGCGGAGGA